rnacentral:lncRNA from 1 species
UCACAGAAGCUCACCACAAAUCUGACUUUCUAACAAUAAAUUACUUUUAGGUAUCCAACAUAGGGUAAAAAAAAAACCCCACACCAAAAAAAUGCAAAACACUUACCCUUGGUUAUCUGAGUUAAAUACAGAGCAUAUUGCAAACAUUUAGUGUCUCCUUAUUUUCUUGUUUCCGUCCUUCUGCCCUACCCCAUCCUCUCCCCAUUUCUGUGCCUUGUAGGGGAAAACCACCUUUUCUGCUUUUUUCAGUGUUUCAUCUGUUUUCCCUCAAAGGUCUUCUGUUGUGUGGAUAUAAAUAUAAGGAAGUUUUGAUAGUUUCAAGAGGAAGGCAAGUAUUGUUUUGUGCUCUUUAGUAAUGGAGUUAGCUCAGAGGUUGCACGAGGACAGGGGCUCUAUUUCCAGCUCUGCCCUAUCUCUGGCUAGCCCAGAUCCCGAGGCAUAACACAGACAUGUGUUCAGCUGUGUUGGAGAUGAUGGCUAGAGCUUGAUGCCGCCCGAGCGCAGAGCCCAGAAACACUUGGGGUUGCUUCGGUCCAGAAACCAGAUGUGCAAGAAAGAAGAAUGCCAACACGAAUAUGAAGUGAACCAUUUCCUAUAUUUGCCACAGCGCCUGGAUGCUCAUAUCGGAUGGUUAGAGACAGAGACUUGCCUCUCACCAGACUGCUUCCUCAGACAAGAUGAAGCCAAGGAGGAGCUUUCCGACACACUGGAGUCGCAGUGACUGCUGCCCAGUUUAAAAUUGAUGUCAGACUG